rnacentral:rRNA from 1 species
CCUACGGGGGGCAGCAGUCGAGAAUCAUUCACAAUGGGGGAAACCCUGAUGGUGCGACGCCGCGUAUAGGAAGAAGUUUUUCGGAAUGUAAACUAUUGUCGUUAGGGAAGAGAAAGGACAGUACCUAAGGAGGAAGCUCCGGCUAACUACGUGCCAGAAGCCGCGGUAAUACGUAGGGAGCGAGCGUUAUCCGGAAUUAUUGGGUGUAAAGGGUGCGUAGACGGGAAAACAAGUUAGUUGUGAAAUCCCUCGGCUUAACUGAGGAACUGCAACUAAAACUAUUUUUCUUGAGUGCAGGAGAGGUAAGUGGAAUUCCUAGUGUAGCGGUGAAAUGCGUAGAUAUUAGGAGGAACACCAGUGGCGAAGGCGACUUACUGGACUGUAACUGACGUUGAGGCACGAAAGUGUGGGGAGCAAACAGGAUUAGAUACCCGGGUAGUC